CCUACGGGAGAUAGCAGUGGGGAAUAUUGCACAAUGGGGGAAACCCUGAUGCAGCGACGCCGCGUGAGUGAAGAAGUAUUUCGGUAUGUAAAGCUCUAUCAGCAGGAACGAGACAAGACGGUACCUGACUAAGAAGCCCCGGCUAACUACGUGCCAGCAGCCGCGGUAAUACGUAGGAGGCAAGCGUUAUCCGGAAUCACUGGGUGUAAAGGGAGCGUAGACGGCUGGGCAAGCCUGAAGUGAAAGGCAGGGGCCCAACCCCGGGACUGCCUUGGGAACUGUACGGCGUGAGUGCAGGAGUGGUAAGUGGAAUUCCUGGUGUAGCGGUGAAAUGCGUAGAUAUUAGGAGGAACACCAGUGGCGAAGGCAGCUUACUGGACUGUAACUGACGUUGAGGCUCGAAAGCGUGGGGAGCAAACAGGAUUAGAUACCCCAGUAGUC
rnacentral:rRNA from 1 species